rnacentral:rRNA from 1 species
UACAGAGGUCUCGAGCGUUGUUCGGAUUCAUUGGGCGUAAAGGGUGCGUAGGCGGCGGGGCAAGUCUGAUGUGAAAGCUCGGGGCUCAACCCCGAGUCGGCCGUGCGAACUGGUGGGCUUGAGCACUGUAGAGGCAGGCGGAAUUCCGGGUGUAGCGGUGGAAUGCGUAGAGAUCCGGAAGAACACCGGUGGCGAAGGCGGUAGCUGGGCAGUUGCUGGACACUGAGGCGCGACAGCGUGGGGAGCAAACAGGG